ACUACAUGAUGAGGGAAUGAUAAACAUUGAGGGACUAGACUGGGCUGGGGUAUCUAGAACGCUUGUUUUUUCAUUAAACAAGCAUUUAAGGAGGAAAGGCUGAGAAGGAGGGAAUGACACACAUGGAUGGGGUGAGGAGGAUGGAGUGACACACAUGGAGGGGGUGAGGGAAUGAUAAACAUUGAGGGGCUGGACUGGGCUGAGGGAUCUAGAACGCUUGUUUUUUCAUUAAAGUUUUGGCUGCAUUCGUA